UAUAUAUUGAAAUAUUGUCUAUGCUUUAGCACAUUUUUUUUUUCUGAAUUGCAGUUAUUUACCUGAAUCAGUUUGAAAAUAAUAAUGCGUUUUCUUUAAAUUUGUAUCAGGAGGCUGAAUAAUAACAGCCUCUCAGGACCAAUACCUUCCUCCUUGGCAAACAUGACUCAGCUUACUUUCCUGUAAUUCUCUUAAUCCCAUGAAUGCCAGUUAGUUUUCUUUCCAAAAUGAUGCAUGUUAGAGUAAGGGUUUACCAGUAUGUGGGAUCUGCUGAAUUUUCCAGGGACUUGUCUUUCAAUAAUUUGAGUGGUCCUAUGCCGGGGUUCUAUGCAAAAACAUUCAAGUAAGUUACUCCAAAAGUUAACUAUGGUGUCCUGUGUUUUACCAUGCUUAAAACAAAAGAUUUAACUAUAUAACUUCUUAGUACUAUUUUUUUCUAUUUAUUAUUUGCUAACACAUUUUUCUAGUUGACACAGCAUUGUCGGAAACCCAUUGAUCUGUGCCACGGGGAAUGAGCAAGACUGCUCCAGAACAAGACCAAUGCCAAUAUCUUUUCCCUUAAAUAAUUCACAAAGUAAGAACAGUUCUCCCUCUUGAAGUUCUGUUCAAAAAGCUGUGUUAAUUCUUUUUCUAACCAUUAAGCACCUACCUUUUGACUUUAGUGUAAAAUUCAUGACUUAUGUCCCCCUAUCUAGAAUUUAAGAUUUCUAUAUGUACCCUAUCACCUGCUUUAAGAUUAUGUUACAUUCCAUAUUGAUAUUCUCCCAAAAUUUGUAUAAUUGUUUAAUUCUGUUAAGCUGACAUAACAUUGCUUUGCUUGUUAGGCUCACAACCUUCUGGAAGACCCAAAAGCCACCGAAUUGUUUUAGCCUUUGGCUCAAGCCUAGGCUGCAUCUGUCUACUUAUUCUUGGAUUUGGUUUACUUCUUUGGUGCAGGCAAAGACACAAGCAGCAAAUAUUCUUUGAUGUUAAUGGUUAGUGUAAACUGAAAAAAUAAAUAUACUUGCACUGAAAAAAGCAUGUAGUUUAUAAGAAAGGGCUAAUUCGUCUCCAUAAAACACACUCUUUUGAACAUUUCAGAACAACAUCGGGAAGAAGUUUGCCUUGGAAACUUGAAGAGGUUCCCUUUCAAGGAACUUCAGGUAGCUACUAACAACUUCAGCAGCAAGAACUUGGUUGGAAAAGGAGGUUUCGGAAACGUAUAUAAGGGGUAUCUCCAGGAUGGAACAGUAGUAGCUGUGAAAAGGCUUAAAGAUGGAAAUGCCAUUGGAGGCGAAAUCCAAUUUCAGACUGAAGUUGAGAUGAUAAGCCUAGCAGUUCACCGCAACCUCCUUCGGCUCUAUGGAUUUUGCAUGACAGCGACAGAGAGACUUUUGGUUUAUCCCUACAUGUCCAAUGGUAGUGUUGCUUCUCGCCUCAAAGGUAAUGCAACAGCAAUCAUUGCUAAUCUCUUACAACUCAGACUGAUAUGAUCUAAUCCCCCGAAUUAUGGAGUCUUAAGAACUAACAAUCAUAACUAUGAAGUAUAUAACAAAUGCAUACUCCAAUAGUAUAAGAUGCAAUGGCAUGUUGAUUUGUCCCCAAUCUUAAAUGUCAAAUAAGGCAAAUUUUACCAGUGAAUAAUAUUGUAAGUUGUGUCUUUGCAGCCAAACCAGCCUUGGAUUGGGGAACAAGGAAACGAAUUGCUUUAGGAGCAGCUAGGGGAUUAUUGUACUUGCACGAGCAGUGUGACCCAAAGAUAAUUCAUAGGGAUGUUAAGGCUGCAAAUAUACUUCUUGAUGAUUACUGUGAGGCCAUUGUUGGAGAUUUUGGAUUGGCAAAGUUGCUGGAUCACCGGGAUUCCCACGUGACAACAGCUGUGAGAGGCACUGUGGGACAUAUAGCCCCGGAAUAUCUAUCAACUGGCCAGUCCUCUGAGAAAACAGAUGUUUUUGGGUUCGGUAUCCUUCUACUUGAGCUGAUAUCUGGACUGAGAGCUCUCGAAUUCGGGAAGACAGCUAACCAGAAAGGAGCCAUGCUUGACUGGGUGAGCUAAUUAAAGAAAUUUUACUUGUCAGACUAUUCUCACAAAGAAUCAAAUUGCAGAAAUCUGAUGUACCUGGUUAUUAUUAUUAUUAUAUGCAGGUAAGAAAAAUUCACCUAGAAAAGAAACUUGAGAUGCUAGUUGACAAGGACCUGAAAAACAAUUAUGAUAGGAUUGAGCUAGAAGAAAUGGCUCAAGUGGCUCUUCUAUGCACUCAAUACCUUCCAAGUCACAGACCCAAGAUGUCAGAAGUGGUUCGCAUGCUAGAAGGUGAUGGACUUGCCGAGAAGUGGGAAGCAUCCCAGAGAGCUGAAGCAACCAGGUCCAGAGCCAAUGAAUUCUCCUCUUCAGAGAGAUACUCUGAUCUUACCGAUGACUCUUCCUUGCUGGUUCAAGCAAUGGAGCUCUCUGGACCAAGAUGACAUGCACCUCUGAGAGAAGGGAGAGAAUCAUAAAUUGUUUAAAAGAAGAAACCUCAAAUGCAUCUUAGGACAGGAACGUGUUGUAUAGUAUUAUAAUACUGAAAACUCUAAAUCUGUCUCAUUUCUGAUUGUACAGAUUUAGAUUAAAAAAACACUGACUUUUAGGUUGAGUGUUACAUUUCCUGCUACUGGUGAGUGAAGAAUUUUCUGGGGAUGUUUUACUGUGAGUUACUUGUAAUAAAAAUGCUUCCAAAAUGAAUUUUAUUUGCUCUCUAAAAUUUAAUGCCACAACUGUCAGGCAGUUUGAAAGGCUAUCAGUGGCAUUUAUCACUAGAAAUCCCAAGUUUUAUACUAGGUUUUAUCUGCAUGCAACCAUGGGUGUAUCUAUGUGCAUGUAUCUAUGCAAGCAUGUGUUCAAUGUGUGCAUGUACAUGUGAUGGUAUUGUAAUAUUCAUAACUCAAAGUUUUUAGCCUAAAAGAGGAAAUACUAAUAGAACUACACAUGAAUCAUGAUACUCUAGAAAAUCAUAUAUUCUCAGUACAAAUCUGGAAGAACAUGACUUACUGCUUGAAUUUCUUCAGGUUAUUUCCAAGCUUUCCUAUAUAAGCAUCCAUGAAGUCCUGAUCAAUCACUUCACUUGAACAUUAUAGAUAAUAUCAAUUUCCUCAAUAAUGUUAUUAUUCACAUUUCAAAAGAAUAUGAUACAAAAAAAUUGCAAUUGGAGCCCAACUGUUCUUUGAGAUUUCAAAAGAAAGGAAAGGAAUUAGCAGAUGGAAGGGCAAAAUAAUUGUUUUUUACAAACAGACCCACAAUGCUUAAUCUUGAAUGAACAAAAUUUCAGCUUGAGCAGAAGCCCGUCGAAACCUCAACAGCUCAAUCAACAUAUUAAUUCUUCCAUCCAUAACAUAUACACAAGGUGAAAUGCUCAUUGUCUCAAGCGCAGGUGAAUUUGCAAGAAGAAAUUUGAUGAACUCCAUCUCAUGUGGCACACCAGACAUAUCUGUCAUCUUCACAACUUUGAGUUGUUUGAAUGUGCAAUCUGUAGGGCAUUUUUGGUCCCAGAAAUCCAAAUCAGGUGCAUCAAUAGCAGCUAACGUGUUUGAGGAACCCUAAAGAAAACAAUGCAGAGAGAACAGGAUCACUUUGGAUCUUGAAUGAUUCAUCAUAAGGUAGUGUAUGAAGUAAAAAAGACAACAAUAUCAACCGUCAAUGAAAAUAUAAAGACAAGGAAGGGGGGGGGGGGGGGGGGGGGUUGCUGGGGAAGGCCAACAACUACCUACAACACUCACUGAAAUUUGAAGUUCCUUUAAAUUAGGAGUGUUGGUAAUCAAGCGAAGAACAACGAGUAUCUCCUUCAUAUCUUCGAAACUCACUUGAUACAAUUCUACUACUUUUAGAUGGUUAUACGUAAUACGAAGUCUUCCAGGGUCAUCACCUAUGCUCAAAUACUUAAGACAGAAAAACAUUAAACUGACAGUACCUUGGAGCAACUACAAACUAAAUCGACUUUACAAACCAAAUUAGAAAUGCAAGAUAGUUUACCUUUGUGAAGUAUAUGUGCCCAAUGAGCCUCUCAAGACGAGGUACACCACCAAGAAACCUGUUAAAGUUGCACCCUGAACUUUGCUCAAAGUGUUCAGCUAUGUCAUCAGUCAUGUACAUAGCCACUGACAUUGCAACUAAAAGGGGGGUAUUUUCAAGACAAAUGUCUUUAAAUUCACCUUCCAGGCACAAAUACUUUAGAUUUGGAGCAUGGAUAGUGAGAGCUAAACUAUCAAAGUAAGACAAUGCCAAGCUCUCAAGAAGAGGGCAACUAGAUAUAAGACUUUCAAUUGCCUCAGGUGACACCAAAACCUGGUGAAGAUUGAGACUCUUCAAGCACAAGAAUCCUUUAAAACUCGGUGGUGGAUCCAAUUCACAACGAAAAAGCUCCAAACGGGUCAGCUUUCUACAAUUAAAAAGACAAGAAGGAACUCUAAACCACUCUCCUUCUCCCAAUUCAAGAACCAACUCUUUGAUAUCAUUCCUCGACAGGAAAAGUAACCAUUGAUCAAUAUCCGGGCAGCAUUGCAAAUACGUAGUCGUAAGCUGGAACUUGUGAAUUGGUCCUUGGUGAAGAAAAAGAGCUCGAGUGAUGAAUUUUACAAGACUAUCCUCAAAUUCACAUCGAUCAUUCGAUAAAUCCACACAUUUCUCAUCAAAAACAAGUUGAGUAAUCGUUGCCCACUUGUACCUCCAUUUACUUGAUAAAAUGCUAGUCCUAACAGCAUCCCGUAUUGGUAAACGCGUGAGGAGACCCUCUAUAAUGCUUUGAGGCAAAUCACUUAUUAAAUCCGGACAGGAAACAUCAUCCAUCUGCAUAAUUUAAGUACAUAUCAAUGAAUUCAUCGAAAUAUAGCCUAUUCUAUGUCUCGGUAAUUUUAGCUUCAAUAAAAGACCAAAUUUAUUAACUUUUCAUGCAUAUCAUUGGGGGCAAUUUAGGAUUAAAAAAAUAUUGGGAUUUCCUAAUUCUUUCCAUCAGUGAAGAAGAAACAGAUCAUAAGACAUGGAUCAAAUAAAACUGAAAGAACCGGGUGGCAAAAAGGUAAAUAUAUGAGACUGAAAAAAACAGUGAGAAAAAAAGAACUAACCUGGGAUAAAAUCGAAAACCCAGAAGCAGAACUAAGUUUCCUUACUCUCUUGCUGUCUUGUUCUUCCUCUUUAUCUCUCUCAUCAGAUACUGCAGUUAAAGAUGCAAAAAUGGCUGGAAGGUUAAAGCUUUACUAAAUUUGUUCGGUGGGGUGUUGUACUGUUUUGUACUUUAGCUGGAGUUUGUGCUUUUAGUGAACAGUCUAUUUUAUGUUUGGGUUGGGCGCCCAUUUAGACUUAGAGUUCUGGCUAUGUUUGGGCCUUUCUUUAAAUACUCAUACUUAUUUCUGUUUUCUUCUUUUUUUUUUCUCAGACUUACAUAAAAUUGGUUUUCAAUUUUUGUUUCUUUUUCUAAAAAAUAAUUGGAUAACUACUUUAUAAAUUAUUAUUGAAAAUUUCAUAAAAAUAAUAAAAUGAGAGUAUUUAAUAUUAGCAAUGUAUUAAUUUAUCUUAUUUCAUUUAUUAUAGUGAAAGAUAAGAGUGAAUGAUAAAAAUGAAAAAUGAACUAAACAGCUUUAGUUUCCUUGUUGAUUGAUGAUGAUAUUUUCAUUGUUUCCCCUCAUCUUUCACUCUUCAUCCUUCAUUUAUAAUAGGUUUUAGCUUGUAAAGCCACACUAUCAUAUAUGCAGUGGUUGCUUAUAUAUGGAGUUAAUCAAUCCUAGCAUUUCCAUUUCCAUACUUCUAACAUCAAAUCACGAAUUUAUUCUUGAGACAAAUUAAGCCAGCAGUGGGCCAAUGUGGCUGCUUUUGCUAGUGAUGCAGCUAAAGGUGGUCAGUGAGUCUGCACAAAUGAAAGGUAAUUAGCAGAAUAUUUAACAAUUCACGUUGAAGAAUCAUGGAUGAGCUUUAUUCAUUCAGGAUAGUGUUGAAGCUUCCAAGAAUUCCUGUCUUCCAGUGCUGUCCGUCCCAACACACCAAGGUUGACUUGAAAGUUGUCGUUCCAAACGGUGCCGGAGAGAGAGAGAGAGAGAGGUGGCAUCGGUUUCACCUGGAUUAUAUAAUGUUGUGUUAGGAAUUUGGUAAAGAUGAAAGCAUGCUAAGAUUGCAUGGGAGGCUUGGCACGAGAUGUAAACACUACUUAUAAUGAAACAAGCCCAGUAAAGGAUUGGCUUUCUUGAAUCUUCCUCGCAAUUCUUAUCAGCAUCUCACCCACUUCCUGCUACAUAAAGAAGCUGAUCUUAGAUUUUUUUAGUUACCUUGCCUGUUGUCCUAGCUGCAAGCACCUGAUCAAUGAAUUCCUGGAAAGAGAAAUCUGUUUUAUAUGGUGUGAUCUUGUUCUGCUUCUGCACCUCUGUGUCUGCAUUGUUAUCACUAAAGGGUGUCAAUUUUGAAGGUAACCGCAGUUCCUUCUCAUAUAUAUGAUACUUGAAGAAGUUUUAAAAUUUGAAUUGUGAAGUAACCUUUUUUUUUUCUUUCGAAAUUUUCUUAGUGCAAGCUUUAAUGGUCAUUAAGAAUUUCCUGGUUGAUCCUCUUGGGGUUCUUGACAAUUGGGAUGAAACAGCCUUAGAUCCAUGCGGUUGGAGUUAUAUCAAUUGCAAUCCUGAUGGUCUAGUCGUUGGGCUGUAAGUAGUACUUAAAGCAACCAAAAUAUUCACUCAUUGAAACUUGGAAAGACAACACAAUACACACAAAAAGAUAAAUAGUUAUAUUCUAAUACUUUAGUAAAGACUAGGGAAGAUACAGUGAUGUGGUUGAAAUGAUUUUGUUUCAGAGGAGCUCCAAGCCUGAAUUUGUCUGGUGCUCUUGCACCUAGCAUUGGAGACUUGACAAAACUCCAACAUGUGUGAGUAUCAAAUUCUCAUCAGACAAAUUGUGCUAGCUAUAGCUAGAGAGCCUUCUAUCUUAAAUGAAAGUUUUGCAGGCUCCUACAGGGCAACAACAUAUCAGGACAUAUACCCUCCGAAUUAGGAAAGCUUCCCAAGCUAAACACACUUGAUCUUUCUAGCAACUCCUUCUCUGGUCAAAUUCCCAGCAGUCUGUCCCAUGUAAAAAGCCUCCAAUACCUGUAAGUAUUUUUAUUGAAAUAUUAUCUAUGCUUUAGCACAUUUUUUUUUUCUGAAUUACAGUUAUUUACUUGAAUCAGUUUGAAAGUAAUAAUGGGUUUUCUUUAAAUUUGUAUCAGGAGGCUGAAUAAUAACAGCCUCUCAGGACCAAUACCUUCCUCCUUGGCAAACAUGACUCAGCUUACUUUCCUGUAAUUCUCUUAAUCCCAUGAAUGCCA
rnacentral:lncRNA from 1 species